UACGUAGGGGGCAAGCGUUAUCCGGAUUUACUGGGUGUAAAGGGAGCGUAGACGGCAGCGCAAGUCUGGAGUGAAAUGCCGGGGCCCAACCCCGGAACUGCUCUGGAAACUGUGAAGCUGGAGUGCAGGAGAGGUAAGCGGAAUUCCUGGUGUAGCGGUGAAAUGCGUAGAUAUCACGAAGAACUCCGAUUGCGAAGGCAGCUUACCAGUCUGCGACUGACGCUCAGGCACGAAAGUGUGGGUAUCGAACAGG
rnacentral:rRNA from 1 species